UUCUGAUCAGUAUAAUUCUCUACACUUACACCAGGUCCAUUAACAGAAGCAAACUCUCUACUCUUGGUAAGAAGGAUUUGCUUCCUGAAAUCUAGUCCCCCAGAGUCCUGCUUUGGAGUCUGGAGCAAUACUCCCAUAUAGAAAGAAUGAGUGGCUGCCUCAUGGAUGCCUGAGGGAGAUCAUGUUAUUUAUAGUAGCCUGGUUAUAAACAGAUUGAGAGAUACAACCUGUGUCACUAAGUAUCUGAAAAAAAACAAAAAAAACAAAAAACCAAACAACAACAACAACAACAAAAAAAACGGGCAUAGCAGGAUAGAGGAGGCUGUUUUGCUUCUGGCAAUCCACUUAUCUUCCCGUACAUGUUGGUGACAGUGGAUCAUCUGGCUACCUGCUUGAGUGUCUCAGUUGAAGAAUCUGCAUAUUUGAGCUCUUCUACAAUCUGAUUAUUUGCCUUCUUAAGAACAGAGCUGCUAAAAACAAUGUCAUGCUUAAAUUCACACUAAGAGCGAUGACUGAAUAAACUCUUCCUUAUCUAUUUUAAA